GACGAACGCUGGCGGCGUGCUUAACACAUGCAAGUCGAACGGAAAGGCCUCUUUCGGGGGGUACUCGAGUGGCGAACGGGUGAGUAACACGUGAGUAACCUGCCCUUGACUUUGGGAUAACUUCAGGAAACUGGGGCUAAUACCGGAUAGGAGCUCCUGCUGCAUGGUGGGGGUUGGAAAGUUUCGGCGGUUGGGGAUGGACUCGCGGCUUAUCAGCUUGUUGGUGGGGUAGUGGCUUACCAAGGCGUUGACGGGUAGCCGGCCUGAGAGGGUGACCGGCCACAUUGGGACUGAGAGACGACCCAGACUCCGACGGGAGGCAGCAGUGGGGAAUAUUGCACAAGGGGUGGAAGCCGGAUGCAGCAACGCCGUGUGCGGGAGGACGGCCUUCGGGUUGUAAACCGCUUUCGCUCAUGACGAAGCUUUGUGUGACGGUAGUGGGUAAAGAAGCACCGGCUAACUACGUG
rnacentral:rRNA from 1 species